UCCCCGGNCUCAACCUGGGAACUGCGUUNUGAACUGGGUGACUAGAGUGUGUCAGAGGGAGGUAGAAUUCCACGUGUAGCAGUGAAAUGCGUAGAGAUGUGGAGGAAUACCGAUGGCGAAGGCAGCCUCCUGGGAUAACACUGACGUUCAUGCCCGAAAGCGUGGGUAGCAAACAGGAUUAGAUACCCUGGUAGUNCACGCCCUAAACGAUGUCGAUUAGCUGUUGGGCAGCAUGACUGCUUAGUAGCGAAGCUAACGCGUGAAAUCGACCGCCUGGGGAGUACGGUCGCAAGAUUAAAACUCAAAGGAAUUGACGGGGACCCGCACAAGCGGUGGAUGAUGUGGAUUAAUUCGAUGCAACGCGAAGAACCUUACCUGGUCUUGACAUGUACGGAACCCUCCAGAGACGGAGGGGUGCCUUCGGGAGCCGUAACACAGGUGCUGCAUGGCUGUCGUCAGCUCGUGUCGUGAGAUGUUGGGUUAAGUCCCGCGACGAGCGCAACCCUUGUCAUUAGUUGCCAUCAUUAAGUUGGGCACUCUAAUGAGACUGCCGGUGACAAGCCGGAGGAAGGUGGGGAUGACGUCAAGUCCUCAUGGCCCUUAUGACCAGGGCUUCACACGUCAUACAAUGGUCGGUACAGAGGGUAGCCAAGCCGCGAGGUGGAGCCAAUCUCACAAAACCGAUCGUAGUCCGGAUUGCACUCUGCAACUCGAGUGCAUGAAGUCGGAAUCGCUAGUAAUCGCAGGUCAGCAUACUGCGGUGAAUACGUUCCCGGGUCUUGUACACACCGCCCGUCACACCAUGGGAGUGGGGGAUACCAGAAGUAGGUAGGGUAACCGCAAGGAGCCCG
rnacentral:rRNA from 1 species